rnacentral:rRNA from 1 species
CCUGCGGGCGGCAGCAGUGGGGAAUAUUGGACAAUGGGCGAAAGCCUGAUCCAGCCAUGCCGCGUGUGUGAAGAAGGCCUUCGGGUUGUAAAGCACUUUCAGUGGGGAAGAAAGCCUUGGGGCUAAUACCCUCGAGGAAGGACAUCACCCACAGAAGAAGCACCGGCUAACUCCGUGCCAGCAGCCGCGGUAAUACGGAGGGUGCGAGCGUUAAUCGGAAUUACUGGGCGUAAAGCGCGCGUAGGCGGUCUGAUAAGCCGGUUGUGAAAGCCCCGGGCUCAACCUGGGAACGGCAUCCGGAACUGUCAGGCUAGAGUGCAGGAGAGGAAGGUAGAAUUCCCGGUGUAGCGGUGAAAUGCGUAGAGAUCGGGAGGAAUACCAGUGGCGAAGGCGGCCUUCUGGACUGACACUGACGCUGAGGUGCGAAAGCGUGGGUAGCAAACAGGAUUAGAUACCCCAGUAGUC